AGUGAACGCUGGCGGUAGGCCUAACACAUGCAAGUCGAACGGCAGCACAGGAGAGCUUGCUCUCUGGGUGGCGAGUGGCGGACGGGUGAGGAAUACAUCGGAAUCUACUUUUUCGUGGGGGAUAACGUAGGGAAACUUACGCUAAUACCGCAUACGACCUACGGGUGAAAGCAGGGGAUCCUCGGACCUUGCGCGAUUGAAUGAGCCGAUGUCGGAUUAGCUAGUUGGCGGGGUAAAGGCCCACCAAGGCGACGAUCCGUAGCUGGUCUGAGGGUAUGAUCAGCCACACUGGAACUGAGACACGCUCCAGACUCCUACGGGAGGCAGCAGUGGGGAAUAUUGGACAAUGGGCGCAAGCCUGAUCCAGCCAUACCGCGUGGGUGAAGAAGGCCUUCGGGUUGUAAAGCCCUUUUGUUGGGAAAGAAAUCCAGCUGGUUAAUACCCGGUUGGGAUGACGGUACCCAAAGAAUAAGCACCGGCUAACUUCGUGCCAGCAGCCGCCGCCG
rnacentral:rRNA from 1 species